UACGUAGGGGGCAAGCGUUGUCCGGAAUCAUUGGGCGUAAAGAGCGUGUAGGCGGCCCGAUUAGUCCGCUGUGAAAGUCCAGGGCUCAACCCUGGAAUGCCGGUGGAUACUGUCGGGCUAGAGUCCGGAAGGGGCGAGUGGAAUUCCUGGUGUAGCGGUGAAAUGCGCAGAUAUCAGGAGGAACACCGGUGGCGAAGGCGGGUCUCUGGGCCGAUACUGACGCUGGAGGUGCGAAAGCGUGGGGAGCAAACAGG
rnacentral:rRNA from 1 species